rnacentral:lncRNA from 1 species
GUGAAGAUAGAAAGGCAGAUUGAAUGUGAAUAAUGGUGGGAGUCUCCAGGUUGCAGAUGAAGCAUCGGUGUGUUUCAAUUUCAUCUCAAGUUCAUCAUGGUUGAAACACACAAGACACAUCUCACCAAUUUUGAAUGCCAGAGCAACACAAAGUUUCAACAACAACACUGAUUUAGACUGUUAUUUGUUUGAUUUCUUCAAUUUCAUCUCAUCAAUCCGACCACCUGCUUAGGUUUUCCUCAACUCUUCUGCUGUACAGAGUCAUCACCGGCAGGUUUUGGCUGUUGAUUUUGCUCUCUAAGCAAGGGUUUGUUGUUGAGUAAUCCAAUAUGGAUUCAGAUUUCAGAAACAUGUAAGGGUGGGGCUACGGAUGUUUUACCACAACCACCACCUGUUCCAGAAGACCUCGUUCCAAUCAAAGCUGAGCCAGAAGCCAAGAAGAAGGUCAUGCGUGUACCCAUGGCUAGGACGGACUCCAACGACCUGAAACAUCAAAUCAUAUAUUGGUUUCUUGUGAUGUAGCGAGAACCAUUUGGUUUGUCGUAGCAUCUUUGAUAGCCAUCUUCCCAGCCAACGGUCACUAGCGAUGGAUAGGAGAACCAGUGGGUUAAAUCUGACUGGAAGCAAGAUGAGAACAUUGCUGGGAAGUGGAAUUAUUAAUUAUACAUCUGGCAAAUGGAAUACGAAUGCGAAAAUAUAUUACAAAAAUGAUUUUUUAAGUCAUUUUUAGUGAUGCUAAGGCACAAGAAGCGUGUUGGGUAAACAGGAAAUGACACAGCUCUGGAAAUAUUGGUCAAGAUCAACUGCCCAAAUGCUACUCAGAGUUCUUAUUAAUGAUUGCAGCCCAUCUAUAUCAAUAGAUAACAUCAGGCUUAAUAAAUGAGGCACCAAAGGUGAAUGCGGUGCCAGAAAAAAAAGGAAGAAGGGGAGGCGUCAAACGCAGCCCACGACGAAGGUGAAGAAGAAGAGAAAAUUGAGGGAGUAGUGGUGGCGGCUCCUCGUAGAAUGACAAGACGCGAUAUCUAAUGACAGAUGCACUGUUGAAGAAUCUAUAGUUAGUAGCUUUCUUUGAGUGGUUUAAUUGUUCGGUUCGGUUAAGGUUGGUUUAAUUCGGUUAUAUACUCACUCCUAGAACAUACAUAUACUUGUAAUACUAAAGCAGUCAGCUAGACUUUCUCUGCGUAUGUUUGACCUUAUAGGUUCAAUGACUAUUUUUUGUUGAAU